AAAUACAAGGAUGUUUUAAUAUGCAAAACUUAAUCAAAGCAAUAUUCAUUACAUUAAACAGAAAAAGGAUAAGAACCAUAGGAUCAUCUCAAGAGAUCUAGAAAACCACAUUUGAUAACAUUAAUACAUGCUUAUGAUAAAAACUAUCAGCAGAGCUGAUAUUAAAAUAUCUAAAACAGUCUCUAAAAUUUAGUUAAUGUCAUAUUUAACGGUAACUUGUAACACGUAACACUUUCUUCUAGCUCAGAAUUUUUAAAAAGGAUGACAUAAAAACCUAAUUUAUUGACUAUUGAUGUGUAGCCACUGUUAUAUUUUAGGAAACAUUUAAAAAUAUAUAAGCAUCAGAAAGAAAAAGGUAAAUAAUGUCAUUACAGGUUGAACAUCAUUUUUCUGAAAAGUUUGGAACCCGAAGUGUUUUGAAUUUCAAAUUUUGACAGAUUUGGAAUAUAUGCAUUACCCAGUAGAGCCCCAUAAUUCCGAAAUCUGAAAUUCAGAAUGCUCUAAUGAGCAUUUACUUUGAGCAACAUGUCAGCUUUCAGAAAGUUUCAGAUUUUGGAGCAAUUUGGAUUUGGGAUUUUCAGAUUAGGGAUAUUCAACCUGCAUUUGUAAAUAAGCUGAAUUUGCAUAUAGAAAAUAUAAAAGCUACAUAGUUGUUUCCUCCUUUCAUAGGUCCCCAGGCCCAAGUGGAUACUUACAACCAUGAAUAGUACAAACCCAAGCUAUACUAUACACACUUUUUGCUUUUUCACAAUUUCACAGAUAGAUUUGUUCUUAUGGAAGCUUUUAGCAACCUAAGCAUAAGUUUUUUUAUUUCUUUAUUUAGUAGAGAACUUUCACCUUUUCACUUAAAGGAAGCACUUUACAGCAUCUCUUUGGCAUGUUUAAUUGUGACAUUUGACAGACAUCCUUGCAGUUUAAGAUGACACUUUUAAAAUAAAUUCUCUCCUAAUGAUGACUUGAGCCCUGCCACUCAAUGGGAGAAUCAGCAGAACCUGUAGGAUCUUAUUUGGAAUUGACAUUCUCUAUUGUAAUUUUGUUCCUGUUUAUUUUUAAAUUUUCUUUUUGUUUCACUGGAAAGGAAAGAUGAUGCUCAGUUUUAAACGUUAAAAGUGUACAAGUUGCUUUGUUACAAUAAAACUAAAUGUGUACACAAAGGAUUUGAUGCUCUUCUCUCAGCACAGGUCUGCUCACUAUGACCUUCCAAGUUUGACUUGUACAACAUCACUGUCAAACUUUGUCACCCUAACUUCGUAUUUUUUGAUACGCACUUUACAGGAUGACCUCAGGGCUAUGUGGAUUGAGUAACGGGAUCUGAAUUAAUGUAUUGAUACUGCCAUAGCUGGGAAAGUGGGUACAAUUUGCCAUUGGUUUCUGAAAGUACUCACAUCAUUUGGGAUACCAGAUUGCUCAAUACUUUGAGUAUAUUGUGCCCUUGAUUUUUAUCUCCAAGUGGCAGUUUUUAAAAUUGGCCAUUUACCUGGAUAUAAAAUAAUAGUACCUGCCACCACCAUCCAACAGACCUGGUGCUCUCAUGCCAAGUUAUAUGUGGGACAGUUACUGGCAUGUCUUCAUUGGCUAUAUAAAAUGUGGCCAAGGAGAUAGGCUCUCAGAGUAGGAGUCUGCAAUGGUCGGCGGUAACUGUCCCAGCUCUCUGGUAUAAAGUUCUCAAAUGUGACUAUGUGAAUCUGGGUGGAAUAAUGGACUCAGCUCUGUCUGCUCAAUGCCAUUGUGCAGAGAAGCACCCUAAUGCAUAAGCUUUUUAAUGCUGUAAAAUAUAGUAGCUGAAAUUAAAUGACACUUUUUCAGAGGUGAAUUAAUGGACAGUCUGGUGAAAUUCAAAAGCUUUUUGAUGUAUAAAACUUGAUAAAUGGAACUAUUCCAUCAAUAGGCAAAAGUGUAACAACCUGUCUAGAUUGAUAGUAUGUAAUUUCCGCACAGGUCUCUGUUUAGUAAAUACUUCACUGUAUACCGAUCAGGAAUCUUGCUCCAAUAAAGGAACAUAAAGAUUUAAAAAAAAAAAAAAAAAGAAGAAAAAUAGUAACAAUCCUACUGAAAAUGUUUCACAAAACUAAGGAGAAAGGAAUUCUCCUUAACUCAUUUUACAAAUCCAGUAUCCCCCUAAUACCAAUGCCAGACAGGUACAAAAUAAAAAAAGAAAACCAUUGCCAAUAUCCCUGAUAAAUAUAGAUUCAAACAUCCACAAUAAAACUAGCAUUGAAUACAACAGGAUAUCAAAAUGACAAUGCACCCUGUUCCAGUGAGUUUUAUUUCAAGGAUGCAAAGAUUAUUCC
rnacentral:lncRNA from 1 species